GUUGCUUCGUGGGGCGUACUCGCCUGCGCAAGGGGACGGGGUCUGGCCGCCGCUUCGCUGGGGCGCGAGACGAAGAGGGAUGGGCCGCAGCAGGAUGUGGGGCGGCGCAGCUAGGGAGCGGCCUAUCUACGUAGGGCACCGACCCUGGAAACGAAGGACAAACUGGGUCAGGGAAGAGUAGGUUGUUGUUGUUGUUUUCCUCCUUCGCCGACGAGGCCGGCGGGGGACGUCUAAGGUUGGUCGCUGCCGGGGAAGACGAGUGCGCGGGGAACCUCUAGGGCCUAGUACACCUGCAGCUGUUCUUCGUGCCUCGUCACCUACGCCACGUCAUGGAGUGACAUCUAAAAGGAGGGCGAGAAGCAGGUGUCCGUUUCCUUCCCUCCUCUCUCCACAGCCUCAUGUCCACUGGUCGUUCGUUUCUUUUCCUUCUCGGUUUCCCCGUCGUGAUAAACAUGUAACGCCGGUGGAUCACCCCACCUCGAUCUAGGCCCUUUCGUGACAUAGCUCUCACCAGCUUCUUGACCCGACGUUUAGCGGCCCGGAGUGAUUUAAGAUUUUCCUGCAGUUUCGUUGUAAAAACUCCAAAAUACGUGUGCGGGUUCGUUCUUCGAAGUUCCAGGUGAAGAUCCACGGCACGUUUAGUUAUGAUCAGCGAGUACAGCCUUCUUUGUUCCCCUUUUGUGACCUUUUUGUUAAUAUAUUAACGUUUUUUAGGUUCGUAUUUGAUCUUAUCAUGAAGGUUCUCUCCCAAAAGGGACACAAAAGUCGUGCUCAACGGACCUUUAAUAAGAUCUGAACGCACGUGUAGUAUGGUUGAACGGGUUUUCAACCAUACUUUAGAUACGUCGUUCUACUUUAGACUGUAGACACGGACAAAUAAGAUGGCGGAUCCAGCGGGGAAGAGACAAAACACAUAAAAAACAUUUAAAGUAUCAAACUUAGUUGGGAUUAGUUCGGUGGUAACGUCCCUAGAAUUCGAAAGACCUAAUCUCCCUUUCCUAAGCUAGCAACUAUUAGGUGUUCACAUCCCCUAGCGUUGUCGAAACCUCCUAUCUCAUAAGUUGGGUUUUAAUAACUAAGCUGUGUUCCCCUCGGUUUCUUAUAAGAGUUCAUAAUCUUCAACUGAACAGUUAAGUUGGUGUGGACCUAUUGAAUCAUAGACGUCGCUUCAUAAAUCAUCGUUUCACCAUACUAUCAUUACCAUUGUCAUCGUUUUCAUUUCUAUGCUUAAAACAUGACUAACAUUGUUAUCGUUGCCUUUUCAUUUAUUCGCUUUGUGUUAUACACUUUUCAAGCAUUCGUAACCUAGUCACUAUCUAUUAAUACAGCCUACGCUAAGGAGUAUAUUAUCAAUAUUGUAUCCCACUGUGUCUUGAUCAAGGUCAAGUAGUUACAUUACAUCCGUACAUAAGGCUUAUAUCAGUAUGCACGAAUACCUUUUCUUGAACG
rnacentral:rRNA from 1 species